GGGAAUAUUGCACAAUGGGCGCAAGCCUGAUGCAGCAACGCCGCGUGCGCGAUGAAGGCCUUCGGGUUGUAAAGCGCUUUUCGGGGAGACGAGGAAGGACGGUAUCCCCGGAAUAAGGCUCGGCUAACUACGUGCCAGCAGCCGCGGUAAAACGUAGGAGCCAAGCGUUAUCCGAAUUCACUGGGCGUAAAGCGCGUGCAGGCGGCCUGGUAAGUUGGAUGUGAAAUCUCCCGGCUCAACUGGGAGAGGUCGUUCAAGACUGUCAGGCUCGAGGGCGACAGAGGGAGGUGGAAUUCCGGGUGUAGUGGUGAAAUGCGUAGAUAUCCGGAGGAACACCAGAGGCGAAGGCGACCUCCUGGGUCGCACCUGACGCUGAGAUGCGAAAGCUAGGGGAGCGAA
rnacentral:rRNA from 1 species